rnacentral:rRNA from 1 species
GACGAACGCUGGCGGCGUGCUUAACACAUGCAAGUCGAACGAAGUGGCGAACGGGUGAGUAACGCGUAAUCAACCUGCCCUUCAGAGGGGGAUAACAGUUGGAAACGACUGCUAAUACCGCAUACUGAAGGAGGGGAUUGCGUCUGAUUAGCUAGUUGGAGGGGUAACGGCCAACCAAGGCGAAGAGCAGUAGCCGGUGUUGGAGGAUUAACGGCCACAUUGGGACCGAGACACUGCCCAGACUCCUACGGGAGGCAGCAGGGGGGAAUCUUCCGCAAUGGACGAAAGUCUGAUUGAUCAACGCCGCGUUAGAGAUGACGGCCUUAGGGUUGUAAAGCUCUUUUAAUCGGGACGCGUUACCGGAAUAGAAAGCCACGGCUAACUACGUGCCAGCAGCCGCGGUAAUAC